UUUCCGGCGCGCCGGCCACGGUGCUUCCGGGUUCUGGUGUAGGAGCGGCGUCUUCUCGCGCGGAUGGUGAAGCUGAAUUUGGUACGCUGGACCCUCGGACAGACAGCAAGAGAGAGACAAGCCCGAGGCCUGACUUCUAGCACUCCUGAGUUUGAGCCCUAUGAGCAGUGGAACCUAGGCCUGCAGACAGCCUAUUGUGGGACCUUUUGAUCGUGUGAGUUAAUAGUUAAUAAGCUCCCCUUUAUAUAUGUAUGUCUAUUCCAUUAGUUAUGUCGCUCUAGAGAACCCUGACUAAUACAAUGAUUAACCUAAUCAUGGGACUAAAGUAGAAGCUAUCGUUUCUUGAGCACUUAUUUUGAACUCAUUGAAUUUGCUUUGUAAGCCUUCUCUAAGGUUGGUAUGGUAGUUAAUCCCAAUUUAAGAAAGACAACUGAAUCUGGUCACCCAGCUACUGUGAGGUAGAUUCUCUAUAUCAAUCUCUGGACAUCUGACUAUUAAAAUAGUGUUCAUAAUUACUACAGUCUUUCAGUUCAUCAGAAGAAAUUCAUGUUUUGUGAGGAAAACUGAAAAUUUUGUUUCAUCAAGUAAUGUAUUUCAAAAAGCAUAUUCUAAAAAAAAUCACUCUCCUAGGACCACCAAGGAUCCAGAUAUAAUUCUUUCCUCAGUAAUAGAAAAAAGAAUCUGGGAUCUAAGAAGAUACCUACUCAUUUUCUAAGUGACUGGCCAUGUCAUUGUCCCACUUAUACCGGGAUGGGGAAGGCCGCAUUGAUGAUGAUGAUGACGAGCGGGAGAACUUUGAGAUCACUGACUGGGAUCUCCAGAAUGAGUUCAACCCCAACCGACAGCGCCACUG
rnacentral:lncRNA from 10 species